rnacentral:tRNA from 1 species
GCCGAAGUGGCGGAACUGGCAGACGCGCACGACUCAAACUCGUGUUCCCUUGGGAGUGUGGGUUCGAUUCCCACCUUCGGCACCA